GUCCCUGCAGCGCAAUGGAUAGCGCGUUGGACUUGUUGUCCAAAGGUCGUGGGCUCGAAUCCCACCCGGGAUG